UACGUAGGGCGCAAGCGUUGUCCGGAAUUAUUGGGCGUAAAGAGCUCGUAGGCGGUUUGUCGCGUCUGCUGUGAAAACCUCAGGCUCAACCUGGGGGCUUGCAGUGGGUACGGGCAGACUAGAGUGCGGUAGGGGGUGACUGGAAUUCCUGGUGUAGCGGUGGAAUGCGCAGAUAUCAGGAGGAACACCGAUGGCGAAGGCAGGUCUCUGGCCGUAACUGACG
rnacentral:rRNA from 1 species